UCCCAUGUGGUGUAGUGGUUUGAAUGUUGGACUGGGACUCUGGGAGACCAGGAUUCAAAUCCCUGCUUCGUCA
rnacentral:tRNA from 1 species